rnacentral:rRNA from 1 species
AGUGGCGGACGGGUGAGUAACGCGUGAGAAUCUGCCUUGGGGUCGGGGACAACCACUGGAAACGGUGGCUAAUACCGGAUACGCCUUCGGGUAAAAGAUUUAUUGCCCUAAGAGGAGCUCGCGUCUGAUUAGCUAGUUGGUGAGGUAAGAGCUCACCAAGGCAGCGAUCAGUAGCUGGUCUGAGAGGACGAUCAGCCACACUGGGACUGAGACACGGCCCAGACUCCUACGGGAGGCAGCAGUGGGGAAUUUUCCGCAAUGGGCGAAAGCCUGACGGAGCAAGACCGCGUGAGGGAGGAAGGCUCUUGGGUUGUAAACCUCUUUUCUCAGGGAAGAAGCUCUGACGGUACCUGAGGAAUCAGCCUCGGCUAACUCCGUGCCAGCAGCCUCGGUAAUACGGAGGAGGCAAGCGUUAUCCGGAAUUAUUGGGCGUAAAGCGUCCGCAGUCGCGAUUCAAGUCUGCUGUCAAAGCACGGGGCUUAACUCCGUAAAGGCAGUGGAAACUGAAUAGCUAGAGUGCCGUAGGGGUAGAGGGAAUUCCCGGUGUAGCGGUGAAAUGCGUAGAGAUCGGGAAGAACAUCGGUGGCGAAAGCGCUCUACUGGACGGCAACUGACACUCAGGGACGAAAGCUAGGGGAGCGAAUGGGAUUAGAUACCCC